rnacentral:rRNA from 1 species
UGAAAGCAUCUAAGCGGGAAGCCUACCUCAAGAUAAGAUUUCCCUAGGACUUUAUGUCCUCUAAAGAGCCGUUCGAGACUAGGACGUUGAUAGGUUGGAUGUGGAAGCAUAGUGAUAUGUGAAGCUGACCAAUACUAAUUGCUCGUGAGGCUUGACUAU